GCACCUUCUCCGAGAUGUCGAGUUGGACGCCGCCGGUCUGUGGAAGACCUGGGAGCCAGCACAACCGAGGUGUCCCAGAUGUCCCAGGCUUGCAUCCCACUUAUGCCACCAAAUAGGAUUUGGGAGAUUAUUUUGGAAGCAAAGCUCACCAAAUUUGCUGUGGACUGGAAACUCAGGAGUAGGCUCCUUACCUCCAGGAAGCUUCUGGAUCUGAACUGCAGGGUUGUGAGGGCCUCAUCUGCCCAGCCGUAGAAGAUGGAUAAUGACGUAGGUGGUGUUUCUCACCUCGGGUUUUAUAACUCCCAGGGGAGCUUUAAACAAUGUAUUGCUACCCGGGCCCCCUUCCAUAUGUUUUGAAUCAAUUGUGAAGGCUUUUGGUUUUCCUGUUUCUUUUAACCGGCGCUCGGCGCUCGGCGCUUCCUUUCUCGUCUUCCUCCUGCCUGGAGCUCACACAUGUGCUUGGACCCGGGGCAGCCACUGGGCUUCCAUGGAGGAAGUCCAAGAGAAUUGCAAAAGCUGGCCUUGAUGUCACUCGAGCUGUUAAACUAGAGCCUGCAGCUGCCUUUCUGGUACAAAGAGCAGUGCCUAUUUGCCUAAGCUACUGUGUGGAUCGAGUGUUUGUUCCUUGAAACCCCAAACGGUCGGCUUUCCUCACAGUUUAAAGCAAAGCCAAGGGGCGCCUGGGUGGCUCAGUUGGUUGAGCGGCCGACUUCGGCUCGGGUCACAAUCUCACGGUUUGUGAGUUCGAGCCCGCGUCGGCCUCUGGGCUGAUGGCUCUCUCUGCCCCUCCUCCACUCAUGCUCUCUCUCUGUCUCAGAAAUAAGUAAGCAUUAAAAAAAAAAUUUUAAGCAAAGCCAAGACAUGGGAUGAAGAGAACUUUAUAAGUCGUCUAAUGCUCAGGAUCCAGACAUGGCUGAAAUUCCCUUUCUUCCGGGGUUUUCAGCCCACUUACUUUUCAGUAAGUGGCCUUUUUUGGUUUUCCCGGUUUGUGCUGUUUGUCACCAGCAAGCGGCGGAGUCCUGACUGACCCACGGUGUCAUGGGGAGGGUCAGAGAGGGUCCCCGGCUGUGAGUACUCACCCCCGGUGG